CACACUACUGUGUAUCUCAUCACUUAGGUUGACACACUCUGAUAUGGCUCUCAUGCGUGACCAGUUACGGCUCAGUACCUAACCUAUUUCAUACUCUUCUUUCAGUGUAAUCCUCUUCAGGACCUCCACUGGUUGUUGGUUUGGUUACCCUCACGACUCCGCUUACGAGGAUAAAGGCUUCGUUUCGUCUUCUCCCAACCUCGUUUACCAGGAGUCUCAUGAAGUUCUGCUCACCAGAGACCGUUGUUGAUUGUUUCGUUGGUUUCUAUCGUUUCGAG